AGAGUUUGAUCCUGGCUCAGGAUAAACGCUAGCUACAGGCUUAACACAUGCAAGUCGAGGGGCGAGCAUCAUCAAAGCUUGCUUUGAUGGAUGGCGACCGGCGCACGGGUGAGUAACACGUAUCCAACCUGCCGACAACGACUGGGAUAGCCUUUCGAAAGAAAGAUUAAUACCGGAUGGCAUAAUUAUUCCGCAUGGGAUAAUUAUUAAGAAUUUCGGUUGUCGAUGGGGAUGCGUUCCAUUAGG
rnacentral:rRNA from 1 species